UCAUCGAUUAGUCAGAGCUCCAGCUGUCGGCAUAUUAUAAUCUGAUUUGAUUUGGGUAUUUAAACCGUUUACAGUUUUUGAUUCGGGAUUGCGAAAUGGUUUUCCGUUUUUGCCAAAUUAACAAACGUUUAUGUAUUUUACAUGUUUAUACCCUUCGUCUUCGCCCUCCCGCGAGAUCUCGUCAGCAUUUUGAUUGUGAAUUUAGAAAAUACUCGUAUAUUUAUCACUAACUUUUAUGAGAUUUUAUAUAAGAUGCCUAUUUGGGUUUUCUGGCGACGCUGUUGUGGCAUAUUAUACCACAUAUCUCAACAAAUAUUUUCAGCGUAGGGCUGGGUAGGACAGGGACGGGCCUGAGGCGGGGUCCAUAAAUUUCUUUAUGAUGCCUAUAAUCAUAUAAAUCUAUACAGUUUUGCCUUGCUCGAUGAUUAAUGUCAAAUUUGCGGGUCUGUUACGAGCUUCGACUGGUAUUUCGGAUGUGAACACGAUGCUCAUCGAAUGUCAGCAGUGAGAACGCCCUUUUCGAAUAUCUAAACAACAUUAUUGCUAUGGUUCUGGCCGAAGAUCGUUACGUUUGUUGGUAGAUCAGACAGUUAGUUAUACAUACAUACUACAGGACUCUCUUGAACAAGAAUGUACACACAUAGCUUAUGGGAUGGAACAGACUUUCUUUUUACAACCUCUGAUCGAUUCGAUUCGUUCCAUCAAAGAGUAUGUUCCAUCUUUAUAUCAAUGUUUAUUCAAGAAAUUAAAUUUACAUAGUUUCAUUGUUGUUUGUAUGCUUUAACAUGGUUGUAUGUAGAAGUACGCUCACGUUACAAA